UCAUUGCUGGUGCUCGUUGGA
rnacentral:miRNA from 1 species